UGUUUGUGCACAUUUUUUGCGUGACUCUGCAUUUUCCUCGGAGAUUAAGAGGGUCUCAUAAAGAAAUCACCCUUUCUGAAAUAGGCGAUUUGCUUUUCAAUACAUUGCAUAACAUCUGCUCUAAAGGAAGUGAGGGAGAGAAGCACAAGCCGGAGGAAAAGACAGCCCUGCAAAGUCGUAGGACCCCGGAUCUGAAGGGCAAAAGCUGAAGGAUUAUAUUUCCACGCUCAAAGAACAGGGCCAUGAAUCUAAUGUUGGCCAAGAUUCCUAUACUUGACAGAGGUACCAGUUCAUCACAGCAACUUAUAUAACCUUGAAACACAUGCCUGAAUACAUGUGUCUUACUUGUGGGUUUAGAAGAAAGCGCUUGUCACAUAUUACUUUUCCACUGUAAUCCCCCAACCAUCAACUUGAAGGAAAGGAAGGAAGAAAAGAAGAAAAGGAGGAAGGAAAGAAGGACGGAAAAAGAGUAGACCACUGGUCGCAGAGUGCUCCUUGGGUUGAGAAGGAGAAACGACAAAGAAGGGAGCCCUGCUGGAGCCUCUCAAAACUGAAAGAGCACUACAGUUUCAUUCACUGUCCCCACUACUAGUCUUCUGCAAGCCUUAAGAGUUAUAUUCCUCAGUUGGAGAAGCUUUGAUCCAGUGUUCAGUUAAUAAAAUAAUUUUUCCAGAAAUUUACAUUGGAUUAUAUAUAUGGUAAAAUAAUGGAAUUUUAAUAUUUAACUCGUUUGCUUGUUUCUGAAUAUCAUUUCCCAAGGAAUUAUAUUGAACUUUAUUAACUUAAUAAAAAAAUACAGAUUCUGUGUUACGUAAAAUAAUGGCACACUGGUUGCUUAAUGAUUUAUAAGAAUUAAUUCUUCAUCUUAAAUGGAAGAAAUUCUAAACUUUCAACAUUUCAAGCAUUUCAUUUUGUUUUUUAUUUACAAAGAGAAAUAAGAAGCUCUCCAGAGAAAAUUUCUGUGCAAGCAAAAUGUGUUCCAAAAAGACUUGUGAAACUCUAUUUGAUAUUGUUAUCUACUAAGAGAGAGAAUGAAAUUAUCACUUGAUAAAGCCCAAAGAAAACUUGAUGGUCUCAGAUAAAAUGAGUGAUCUUUGCAGAGGAAAAGUACUUCACAGAAGCCGGAAACUGGGACACCAAAGGGAGGAAACUGGUACUAGAAUAUUUCACUUAAUGACUAUAUGACAAGUCCAUCACAGGUCAUUAUUUACAGGUCAUUUUCCUGUCAAUUGUAGGAAUCCUGGCCUUAAUCAUUUGUGUCAACACACACUUCCGUAUAAAAACUUCCAACAUGAUACAGAUAAUUCUGAGAAACACGAUAUGUGUUCUGACAAUUUUGUGCUUUCCUUUUGACUCUGAAUUUGCCAAGAUAUUUCCUGUUAACUCCUUGGCAUGAGUGUUUUUAAGUGUCUCUUACUGAUGCCAGCACUGGGUGUCAUGCUGGGAAAAUCCAGUUUUUGAAAGGAAAAUUACAAAGCAUUGUGGUCAGCAUUAAAUUUAAAGGAACAUUGCUACUACUUUUAAAUACAUUUCCACAGUUAGGUAUUUGAUUAUUUUAGACAGAAUUUCUUUGUAGCAUCAUAACAGAAUUUCUUUUUUAGCAUCUUUACAGAGGUAUAAUUGAUAUACAAAGAACUGCACAUAUUUAAUGUGUACAAUUUGAUGAGUUUGGACAUAUGCAAACACCCGUGAUACCAUCACUACAAUCAAGGUAAUAGACAUAUCUAACACAUUCCAGAGUUUCCUCGUGUCCCUCUGUUUCGUUUUAUUUUUGGUGGUAAGAACAUUUAACUUGAGUUAGACCCCUUAACAAAUUUUAAGUGCACAAUACUGUAUUGUUAACCCUAGGCACUCUAUUGUACAGCAGAUCUCUGGAAUUUAUUCAUCUAGCAUAACUGAAACAUGCUCAUUGAACAAUAACUCCACAUUUCUUUCCCCUGCAGCCCCUGGCAACCACUGUUGUAUUCGCUACUUCAAUGAAUUGGACUACUUUCGAUGCCUCAUAUAAGAGGAAUCAUGAAGUAAUUGCCCUUCUUUAACUAGGUCAUUUCAUUUGGCGUAAUGUCCUCUAGGUUCAUCCAUGUUGUCGUAAAUAGCAGCAUUUCUUUCUUUUUUAAGGUUGAGUAAUAUUCACU